GAGACUCUGUGCGCGUGCAUAUCAAUAAGCGGAGGAAAAGAAACUAACAAGGAUUCCCUUAGUAACGGCGAGUGAAGCGGGAAGAGCUCAAAUUUGAAAUCUUCAAGGUUCUACCUUGACGAAUUGUAGUUUAUAGAAGUGUUUUCUGUUAGUGGAGUGGCAAAAGUUCUUUGGAAUAGGACAUCAUAGAGGGUGAGAAUCCCGUAUUUGGUCAUUCCUCCUAGCGUUGUGAUACACUUUCAACGAGUCGGAUUGUUUGGGAAUGCAGUCCAAAAUGGGUGGUAAAUAUCAUCUAAAGCUAAAUAUUGGCGAGAGACCGAUAGCGAACGAGUACCGUGAGGGAAAGAUGAAAAGAACUUUGAAAAGAGAGUUAAACAGUACGUGAAAUUGUCAAAAGGGAAGCGUUUGACACCAGUGUUGUUUUUCCGAAAAUCAAUUACGAAUGUUUUGUUUUUGAGGAGUUAUGACUUCAUCGGCUUGCUUCUUUCUUUACGAAACUUUCUUAAUGCACUUUUCGGUUAACAAGUCAACAUCAAUUUCUUUUGUUGUAAAAGGGUAUGAGGAAGGUGGCUUUCUUUUCGGAGAAAGUGUUUAUAGCCUUGUACCUCUGCAAUCGGAGAGAUUGAGGUCUGCAGCGUAGAUCCUUCGGGGUUAGAUACAUUUGUGCUAAGUUAUAGCUUUUCAUAGACAACUUGUUGACUAUGUUAAGUCUUGUAGCUUACUCGCUUAUGCUAUUUUACCUACGCUUAGGAUGUUGACGAUCAGCUGAGCGCG
rnacentral:rRNA from 1 species